AAACUGCGAUAACUAACGUGAAUUGCAGACGCUUUGAACGUUAAAGUUUCGAACGCACAUUGCGCCGUGGGAGUCCUACCCUACGGCACAUCUGGUUGAGGGUCGUGUCCUUUGAAAACAGCAGGUUAUGGCUGUGAAACAACAAACUGGCGAAUCACAAGUUCAAAUUCGUGCCUCUGUUGAAUGUGUUUUGUCAUUGUGCCAAAUGACCACCUAUUAGUUGAUGCUAUAGGUUCCGAUUGCUGGGUAUCAUACAUGAAAUACUCGGUACUUUUGGGACACAGCUAGUAGCAGGUAUCCAGUGCUUGGCUAAACAACUUCGUAUCCCGACCUCAACUCAGGUGUGACUACCCGCUGAACUUAA
rnacentral:misc_RNA from 1 species